GGGGUUAGCAUCGCUCAAAAUAAUAUUCGUACAUAGUUUAGGUCUAUCGGGCUUCGUGUAAAUAUUCUUAGUACCUUUAUUUGGACAGUGUUUUACUCCAUUGAUCUUUGGUGCCAUGCUGGGUGUCAACAAAGGACACAUGUGUGGCAACAGGAACCUCUUGUUACCUUGGAGGAACGCCGCCAACAGAGCCAGCAAUAACAAUAACAACAAUAACGAUCUCAAUAAUAUCCUCGCUGCUCUCGCGGCUCUUCGCAUCAACAACCUCGUCCAAGCUGCUGCGGCUGCGGCUGCUGCUGCUGCUGCUGCGGGUUAACGCUGGACUCGACUUUCAAGUGACAUUCGAGUCUUGCGAAUGCCAGAGACCAGAAACUUCGUGGACAAAGGUGUGAACAAGAAUAAAGUUUUGAAUUUUUACCCUCACUAUGAAAAAAAA